CCACCAAAUAAAAAACCCCCAAAUCAUAAACCCCAAAAUCAUAAACCCCCAAAUUAAAAACAACAAAAAAAGAAGAGAAGAAGAUGAACAUAAUGUAAACCAUACCUUGAAGAUAAUUUCGACAAUGACCGGAGAGAAGUGGCCGGCCGGAUUAGAAGAAGGUAUAACUAUAUAAAUGAAAACAAGAAGAUGAAGAAGAUGAUUUAGAUAACAAAAACAAAAACAAGAUUACAACUAAAAGAAGAUGAAGAUGAAUAACAUACCUUGAGGAAACUUCGAAGAUCACCGGAGAUGGAUGAUGAAAAAUCGCCGGAGAGAUUUGGGGAUAGUUAGAGUGGAGUGGGAGAAGUGAAGAGGAUUUUGGGAGGAAAUAAAAUGAAACGAUUCUGGAAUUUUUUUCUUAUAUAAAAAAUUUCCGGCGGCCAGGCCGCCGGGAAACACUAAAGUUUAGUUUGACUGUACGGGGGACCACGACGGCGCAAGUUGUAAAUUUAGGGUUUUCCAAAAAUUUCUGGCGGCCAGGCCGCUGGCUACUGAAAAAAACAAGCGGGAAAAAGUAUCCAGCGGCCAGGCCGCCGGGAAUUUUUCUCCCGACCGUUGAGGGUUUUAGUAUCCAGCGGCCAGGCCGCCGGGAAUUUUUCUCCCGACCGUUGAGGGUUUUAGUAUCCAGCGGCCAGGCCGCCGGGAAUUUUUCUCCCGACCGUUGAGGGUUUUAGUAUCCAGCGGCCAGGCCGCCGGGAAUUUUUCUCCCGACCGUUGUUGAAUUGGAGCUGGCGGCCAGGCCGCUGGAAUUUUUUACAAAAAAAUAUUCCGUCGGCCUAGCCGCCAGAAAUUUUCUCUCAUUUACGAGGGAAAAUUAUGCAGGCGGACAAGUGUAAGAUUCCGGCGGCCAGGCCGACGAAAGUAUCUACCGGCGGCCAGGCCGCCGGGAGAUGGGCG
rnacentral:lncRNA from 1 species